GAAAGUUGUUUAUUACUUAUUAAAUUAAAAUAUUUAUUAUCAGACGAAAAAUAAAACCUGUAAACAAUUUCUGCCUGUAUUUACUUGUUCAAGUGCCAGUGAAACAAACGAUAAAAAAGAAGAAGUAUUCAGUCAUUCCACUCAAAAGAUUGGUGGCAAUACACCAGCAUCAACUAUAAACAAAGCUUUAGAUGAGAGAAUGUUAGCGGGAGGGUAAAAAACAAAAAAUGAUCAUUCAAGACUACUUACUUGUACAAAGCUCAACCUACCGGACCCACGACGUCAAUUCAACAUUGGAAUAACGCUGUACUGACGUUGCAAUUUUAGAUUAACGUUAAUCCAAUGUUGGAUUGACGUCUUGUACCCACUGGGUACUUGUUUGGGCUUUUUUCUUUGUAAGUGCUCUGGCGACGGAAAAGCAACUAAAAAAAAAUUGUUGAUCAAUUAAUAAGAAGACCAUUUAGAGAGAGCUCCCAAUGUUGAAGAAAAUAAAAACAUUUAUAUUUGUAAAUCUCAUUAACAUGGAAUAUGCGUUUUAAAUUA
rnacentral:lncRNA from 1 species